GGAAGGUGUCCUCACCUGGAAGGUGUCCUCACCUGGAAGGUGUUCUCAUCUGGAAGGUGUCCUCACCUGGAAGGUGUUGUCAUCUGGAAGGUGUCCUCACCUGGAAGGUGUUCUCAUCUGGAAGGUGUCCUCACCUUGGGGAAAGGGAGCACAAGUCCCAAAGAGCCCGAGCCUGGGAGGCUGGCACAGGAACCGGGAAGGAAAAAGAAUCCUCUAGAAAAACUGGUGAAGAUGGGAAAACCCAGAAGAAAUUCCAGAGUGUGAUCGACCACGGGUGAUCCACAGCCAAGCACAGAAAUGCAGGGCUGUGGGACAAGGCCGGGGAUGAGGAACAAAUCCAGAACCAAGGCCAGGGAUGAGGAACAAAGCCAGGACCGAGGCCAGGGAUGAAGAACAAAGCCAGGACCGAGGCCAGGGAUGAGGGACAAAGCCAGGACCAAGGCCAGGAGCGAGGUCCUGCCAGCAGCCAGGGUCCCACGGUGCCAUUCCCUGGGGGCAGGAAGGGAUCAGAGCUCUGGACAGGUACCUGUGCUGCUGGAGUUUAUAAAGCUAUGGAGAAAACCCCUGGAUACUGAAAUUCUUCAACCUCUUCCUGCACUUGUAUAUCGACCAUGUGUUAACCCAGCACACGGAGCUCAGCUGCAGAAACACAAGGAAGGGAGUUGGUCAGAGAAGUGUGACAUUUGAACCAGAGGGAUGCAAUGUUUUAAGGCCAAGGUUGUGGAUUUUGGUAUCAGCAUACAAUUCUAUCAUGGAAUUGAUUUAACAAGCUCCGAUUCUACCAGAUACCAAUGCCAGUGCUGGCAUUCUGGGAUGAGCUGCAUUUUUGCUUCUACGUUUCACGCCUAAAACGAGUUCAUUUUGAGUUCUACUGAAAUACUUCAUGUCUUAAAAUACUGUAUUUGCUGCAGGGAGCCCUGCAGGUGGUGGUCGAGGUGACAAAGGGCACCUUAGGAAGUGGCUUGAGUCCAUCUCCUGCCUCUUCAUUCGGGAUGUGCUCUUGCCCGGUGUGUCCGUGUGUCUCAAAUACCGGUUCUGUUUUCCCAUUAACUUCCCUGAUCCUGGGGGUUUUAAGUACAAAGCCAAUUGUACAGGACAGGUCUGUGUGUAAAUAAGGGAUUGUGCUUAUCUAUAUGUCACUAUAAAUAUGUAUGACGUUUUGUACAUAGGAAAGAAGAAACGGCUCAAAGAAUGAAUGUUUUCAGAGCUGUGUCCUCCCUUUAAAUGCACAGACAGGAGAUUGCCACCCAUGUGCUCCCUCACUCUCCGGGAAGGGAUCCCGCUCGUUCUGCUCGCUGCCCGCGUCCCGCCGGCUCUGUGAGAUUGUGG
rnacentral:lncRNA from 14 species